CGGGUAGUGGCAAGGACGUCACCGCGGCAAUCACGGACUAAAAACCAGUUACGGGAAGCCCGGGUUUGGGCAUAAUCCACAUUAUCCCGCCGCAACAAAAACCAGAGCAAAGUGCUGGAGCCUGUGUAGAUGGAAGGAAAUACGGUGAAUGGAUCAGGCCUCUAAUAGAGGUUGUCCAUCAACCACACCAAAUAUACGAUACGAAGCUCCAAUAUUAAUGAUAUCCAAUCAAUUAUUCCUAGGGAUCGAGCUAUUUUUACAGGUAUAGUACAUGUACAUACAUCAACUUAACUUAAAAAUCACAGAUAUUCCCAUCAUCCGACAUCCAAUGAUAGGCC
rnacentral:sRNA from 2 species